AACGAACGCUGGCGGCAUGCCUAACACAUGCAAGUCGAACGAGACCUUCGGGUCUAGUGGCGCACGGGUGCGUAACGCGUGGGAACCUGCCCUUAGGUUCGGAAUAACUCCCCGAAAGGGGUGCUAAUACCGGAUAAUGUCUUCGGACCAAAGAUUUAUCGCCUUUGGAUGGGCCCGCGUUGGAUUAGCUAGUUGGUAGGGUAAAAACCUACCAAGGCGACGAUCCAUAGCUGGUCUGAGAGGAUGAUCAGCCACACUGGGACUGAGACACGGCCCAGACUCCUACGGGAGGCAGCAGUGGGGAAUAUUGGACAAUGGGCGAAAGCCUGAUCCAGCAAUGCCGCGUGAGUGAUGAAGGCCUUAGGGUUGUAAAGCUCUUUUACCUGGGAUGAUAAUGACAGUACCGGGAGAAUAAGCUCCGGCUAACUCCGUG
rnacentral:rRNA from 1 species